AAUAUUGGACAAUGGGGGCAACCCUGAUCCAGCCAUGCAGCGUGUGUGAAGAAGGUCUUCGGAUUGUAAAGCACUUUAAGUUGGGAGGAAGGGCUUUAGGCUACUACCCACAAGUUGUGACGUUACCAACCUAAUAAGCAACGGCUAACUCUGUGCUCGCAGCCGCGCUAAAACAGAGGGUGCAAGCGUUAAUCGGAAUUACUGGGCGUAAAGCGCGCGUAGGUGGUUCAGUAAGAUGGGUGUGAAAUCCCCGGGCUUAACCUGGGAACUGCUUUCAUAACUGCUGAGCUAGAGUACGGUAGAGGGUAGUGGAAUUUCCUGUGUAGCGGUGAAAUGCGUAGAUAUAGGAAGGAACACCAGUGGCGAAGGCGACUACCUGGACUGAUACUGACACUGAGGUGCGAAAGCGUGGGGAGCAAACA
rnacentral:rRNA from 1 species